rnacentral:lncRNA from 1 species
AUUUAACUGGUUCUGUAUUUAGAUAGGAAUUUAAUUAUUACGACGAAUAAGAAAAAUUGUGUUUGCAUAUAGAUUGGAGUAAUAAGAAUAAAAAUAAUUAUAUUAUAAAAUAAAGAUAUUUUGAUAAGAAGCAUAAAGUAUUUAAUAAAAAUAAUUUGUAUUAAUUAAUUAAUUAACUAACUAAAGAAUAUUGUACAAAAUGAUAAAGAAGCACGCUAAUUGAUUAAUUAUUUAAGAAAAAUAAGUCAUUGUGUUAUCUGAUUAAUAUAUAUUUAAUUAAUUAGAUAUUUAGUUAAUAAAUUAAUUGGAUUAAUUAUAAUAUUAAUUACUUAAUUUAUUUAAAUAUUAUUUAAUGAUUAAAUUAGUUAAUUAUUUGAUUAGGUAAUUGAUUAUAUAUAAUAAUAAAUUAAUUGCUUAGGUGGCUAAUUUAAUGUAUAUUAAUUUAAUAAGUAAAANAAAAUUAAAAUUUUAAAUUUUAAUUUCAAAUUUAAAUUUUAAAAGUUAAAGUUUAAAAUUUAAAAUUUAAAAAUUUAAAUUCAAAAUUUAAAAAUUUAAAUUCAAAUAUAAUGAAAGAGGUAAUACCGUUAUUUUCUAUUUAUAACCAUCAACUAUUUCUCUUAUUCCCAAUAACCAUCCAAACACAAUUUUGCUAAUUCCAGCUUAUACUCACAUUUUUAUCCAAACAAAAAAAAAACCCUUUUUCUUACAAAAAUCCAUACUUAUAUCUAUUUCUAAAAUAACUAGUUUCUACUAAUUUCCAAAUCAAACGAAGCCUAAGAGAAAAAUUAUUAUU